UACGUAGGGUGCAAGCGUUGUCCGGAAUUAUUGGGCGUAAAGAGCUCGUAGGCGGUUUGUCGCGUCGGCUGUGAAAACCUGGGGCUCAACCCCGGGCCUGCAGCCGAUACGGGCAAACUAGAAUUCGGUAGGGGAGACUGGAAUUCCUGGUGUAGCGGUGAAAUGCGCAGAUAUCAGGAAGAACACCCGUGGCUAAGGCGGCUCUCUAGUACGGUACUGACGCUGAGACGCGAAAGCGUGGGGAGCGAACAGG
rnacentral:rRNA from 1 species